GACGUAGGGCGCGAGCGUUGUCCGGAUUUAUUGGGCGUAAAGAGCUCGUAGGCGGCUAAGUAAGUCGGGCGUGAAAUCCCACGGCUCAACCGUGGAAGUGCACUCGAAACUGCAUAGCUAGAGUCCUGGAGAGGAAGGUGGAAUGCUUGGUGUAGAGGUGAAAUUCGUAGAUAUCAAGCGGAACACCGGUGGCGAAGGCGGCCUUCUGGACAGUGACUGACGCUGAGACGCGAAAGCGUGGGGAGCAAACAGG
rnacentral:rRNA from 1 species